rnacentral:lncRNA from 1 species
GCUGUUUGAGCAGUGAUCACUCUGUACCCAUCUCUGCUCUAGCCUGCCACCUUUUCUCCACACAGCUCUUCCCAACCCUACGGGGUGCUGAGCCCUCACCCCUGGCUGGUCUUGCGCCUGCUCUGGGUGCCAUUCACUCUCUAGGGGGCGAAGCACGCAGGUGUGAUCUGUCUGAUCUCUGUCUUUCCAGGAAUCUUGGGAUGAUGGUAUGCUCUGCCCUGUGUGACCUGGGUGGGAUCUUCACCCCCUUCAUGGUGUUCAGGCUGAUGGAAGUUUGGCAAGCCCUGCCCCUCAUUUUGUUUGGAAAUCAAAGGCCAAAGAAAACACGAUUUACCUUCAGGUCCAAACAGGCAAGUCCUCAAGUACCUGACAGGGAUGCUGUGCCAGGAGCUGAGUGGCAGAGAGAAAGGAGGACUUGCCACUUGGAGGAUUCCCAGAAGCCUUUGCCUUUCCAGACUCUUGUAUAUAUGCACCAGGUUCCAAAUGAACUACCAACCUUAAAGACUUUUCUGAAAGCC